AGAACGAACGCUGGCGGCAGGCUUAACACAUGCAAGUCGAACGCUCGUAGCAAUACGGGAGUGGCAGACGGGUGAGUAACGCGUGGGAACAUACCCUCCGGUUCGGAAUAGCUCAGGGAAACUUGGAUUAAUACCGGAUACGGCCGAGAGGCGAAAGAUUUAUCGCCGGAGGAUGGGCCCGCGUUCGAUUAGCUAGUUGGUGAGGUAACGGCUCACCAAGGCGAUGAUCGAUAGCUGGUCUGAGAGGAUGAUCAGCCACAUUGGGACUGAGACACGGCCCAAACUCCUACGGGAGGCAGCAGUGGGGAAUAUUGGACAAUGGGCGCAAGCCUGAUCCAGCCAUGCCGCGUGAGUGAUGACGGCCUUAGGGUUGUAAAGCUCUUUCGCUCGGGACGAUAAUGACGGUACCGAGAUAAGAACGCCCGGCUAACUUCGUGCCAGCAGCCGC
rnacentral:rRNA from 1 species